UGCGCCGCCCCUGGCUGUUGCUACCGUGAGUGCAGAGUCUUCUAGCUCAGGAUGGCCUCGAACCCUCUGUGUAGCUGAAAAUGACCUUGACUGAACUCUCUUCUUGAGUCCUGGAUUUAAUAACAGGGUUUCUCUGUGCAGCUGUGGCAUUCCUCGAACUGUUUCCAUAAAACGGGGUGCA